GAUGAAGAACGUAGCGAAAUGCGAUAAGUAAUGUGAAUUGCAGAAUUCAGUGAAUCAUCGAAUCUUUGAACGCACAUUGCGCCUGCCAGUAGUCUGGCGGGCAUGCCUGUCUGAGCGUCAUUUCAACCCUCAGCCCCCGCUCGCGGGGCGCUGGCGUUGGGGAUCGGCCGUCCUCGCGGCGGCCGGCCCCGAAACACAGUGGCGGUCUCUCGCGGACUCCCCUGCGUAGUAGCACUACCUCGCACAAGGGACGAGCGGGCUGACCACGCCGUAAAACCCCCCACUUCUCCAGGUUGACCUCAGAUCAGGUAGGAAUACCCGCUGAACUUAAGCAUAUAAUAAGCGGAGGA
rnacentral:misc_RNA from 1 species